GAUGAACGCUGGCGGCGUGCCUAAUACAUGCAAGUCGAGCGAACAGACGAGGAGCUUGCUCCUCUGACGUUAGCGGCGGACGGGUGAGUAACACGUGGAUAACCUACCUAUAAGACUGGGAUAACUUCGGGAAACCGGAGCUAAUACCGGAUAAUAUAUUGAACCGCAUGGUUCAAUAGUGGAAGACGGUUUUGCUGUCACUUAUAGAUGGAUCCGCGCCGCAUUAGCUAGUUGGUAAGGUAACGGCUUACCAAGGCAACGACGCGUAGCCGACCUGAGAGGGUGAUCGGCCACACUGGAACUGAGACACGGUCCAGACUCCUACGGGAGGCAGCAGUAGGGAAUCUUCCGCAAUGGGCGAAAGCCUGACGGAGCAACGCCGCGUGAGUGAUGAAGGUCUUCGGAUCGUAAAACUCUGUUAUUAGGGAAGAACGAAUGUGUAAGUAACUAUGCACGUCUUGACGGUACCUAAUCAGAAAGCCACGGCUAACUACGUG
rnacentral:rRNA from 1 species